GUUUGAUGGCGACCGGCGCACGGGUGAGUAACACGUAUCCAACCUGCCGAUGACUCGGGGAUAGCCUUUCGAAAGAAAGAUUAAUACCCGAUGGCAUAGUUCUUCCGCAUGGUAGAACUAUUAAAGAAUUUCGGUCAUCGAUGGGAUGCGUUCCAUUAGGUUGUUGGCGGGGUAACGGCCCACCAAGCCUUCGAUGGAUAGGGGUUCUGAGAGGAAGGUCCCCCACAUUGGAACUGAGACACGGUCCAAACUCCUACGGGAGGCAGCAUG
rnacentral:rRNA from 1 species